rnacentral:rRNA from 1 species
CCUACGGGAGGCUGCAGUGGGGAAUAUUGGACAAUGGGGGGAACCCUGAUCCAGCCAUGCCGCGUGUGUGAAGAAGGCCCUCGGGUUGUAAGCACUUUCAGUGAGGAAGAACGCCUGGUGGUUAAUACCCAUCAGGAAAGACAUCACUCACAGAAGAAGCACCGGCUAACUCCGUGCCAGCAGCCGCGGUAAUACGGAGGGUGCGAGCGUUAAUCGGAAUUACUGGGCGUAAAGCGCGCGUAGGUGGCUUGAUAAGCCGGUUGUGAAAGCCCCGGGCUCAACCUGGGAACGGCAUCCGGAACUGUCAAGCUAGAGUGCAGGAGAGGAAGGUAGAAUUCCCGGUGUAGCGGUGAAAUGCGUAGAGAUCGGGAGGAAUACCAGUGGCGAAGGCGGCCUUCUGGACUGACACUGACACUGAGGUGCGAAAGCGUGGGUAGCAAACAGGAUUAGAUACCCCAGUAGUC